rnacentral:rRNA from 1 species
CGGGUGAGUAACACGUGGAUAACCUACCUAUAAGACUGGGAUAACUUCGGGAAACCGGAGCUAAUACCGGAUAAUAUUUUGAACCGCAUGGUUCAAAAGUGAAAGACGGUCUUGCUGUCACUUAUAGAUGGAUCCNCGCUGCAUUAGCUAGUUGGUAAGGUAACGGCUUACCAAGGCAACGAUGCAUAGCCGACCUGAGAGGGUGAUCGGCCACACUGGAACUGAGACACGGUCCAGACUCCUACGGGAGGCAGCAGCC